UAUGUAAUAUGGUCCACAUCUU
rnacentral:miRNA from 2 species